rnacentral:lncRNA from 1 species
CCAUAUUUGGUUGCUGUGAGAGUAGGAAAAAUGGAAAACGAGACUGAUUACUCUGUCUCAAGACCCAAUUUUGACCACUUGUUUUUGACCACUUCUAAAUUGUGGUAUAGACAGAAAACAAUAUGAAAGAGUCAGGUGAGAUUUGACAGCCAAACUUUAGCUGGUGAUUUAUGGUAUCCUGUAAUUUGCAGUUUUAGAAUUUUAUAUUCCUGACAAGUGA